rnacentral:rRNA from 1 species
ACUCCUGCGGGAGGCAGCAGUGGGGAAUAUUGCACACUGGGCGCAAGCCUGAUGCAGCGACGCCGCGUGGGGGAUGAAGGCCUUCGGGUUGUAAACUCCUUUCGCUAGGGACGAAGCUUUUUUGUGACGGUACCUAGAUAAGAAGCACCGGCUAACUACGUGCCAGCAGCCGCGGUAAUACGUAGGGUGCGAGCGUUGUCCGGAAUUACUGGGCGUAAAGGGCUCGUAGGUGGUUUGUCGCGUCGUCUGUGAAAUUCUGGGGCUUAACUCCGGGCGUACAGGCGAUACGGGCAUAACUUGAGUGCUGUAGGGGUAACUGGAAUUCCUGGUGUAGCUGUGAAAUGCGCAGAUAUCAGGAGGAACACCGAUGGCGAAGGCAGGUUACUGGGCAGUUACUGACGCUGAGGAGCGAAAGCAUGGGUAGCGAACAGGAUUAGAUACCCCUGUAGUCCCAUGAU